rnacentral:rRNA from 1 species
GACGAACGCUGGCGGCGUGCCUAAUACAUGCAAGUUGAGCGCUGAAGGUUGGUACUUGUACCAACUGGAUGAGCAGCGAACGGGUGAGUAACGCGUGGGGAAUCUGCCUUUGAGCGGGGGACAACAUUUGGAAACGAAUGCUAAUACCGCAUAAAAACUUUAAACACAAGUUUUAAGUUUGAAAGAUGCAAUUGCAUCACUCAAAGAUGAUCCCGCGUUGUAUUAGCUAGUUGGUGGGGUAAAGGCUCACCAAGGCGAUGAUACAUAGCCGACCUGAGAGGGUGAUCGGCCACAUUGGGACUGAGACACGGCCCAAACUCCUACGGGAGGCAGCAGUAGGGAAUCUUCGGCAAUGGACGAAAGUCUGACCGAGCAACGCCGCGGGAGUGAAGAAGGUUUUCGGAUCGUAAAACUCUGUUGGUAGAGAAGAACGUUGGUGAGAGUGGAAAGCUCAUCAAGUGACGGUAACUACCCAGAAAGGGACGGCUAACUACGUG